ACGGUAGUAGUUCAGUUUGGUAGAACACGUGCCUUGGGAGCACGGGGUCGCAAGUUCGAGUCUUGUCUACCGUGCCA
rnacentral:tRNA from 1 species